rnacentral:misc_RNA from 1 species
UCCGGCUUGUCACCGGCGGUUUCUCCAGAGUGCCCGGCGUUACCCGAUGGCAACUGAAGAUGAGGGUUGCGCUCGUUGCGGGACUUAACCCAACAUCUCACGACACGAGCUGACGACAACCAUGCACCACCUGUGCAGGACCCUUGCGGACCAACCAUCUCUGGAAGAUUUCCCUGCAUGUCAAGCCUUGGUAAGGUUCUUCGCGUUGCGUCGAAUUAAGCCACAUGCUCCGCUGCUUGUGCGGGUCCCCGUCAAUUCCUUUGAGUUUUAGCCUUGCGGCCGUACUCCCCAGGCGGGGUGCUUAAUGCGUUAGCGACGGCACGGAAGGGGUUGAUGCCUCCCACACCUAGCACCCAACGUUUACGGCUGGGACUAC